rnacentral:rRNA from 1 species
AUUGAACGCUGGCGGCAUGCUUUACACAUGCGAGUCGAACGGCAGCGCGGGCUUCGGCCUGGCGGCGAGUGGCGCACGGGUGAGUAAUGCAUCGGAACGUGCCCCGUAGUGGGGGAUAGCCCGGCGAAAGCCGGAUUAAUACCGCAUACGACCUGAGGGGGAAAGCGGGGGACCGAAAGGCCUCGCGCUAUUGGAGCGGCCGAUGUCGGAUUAGCUAGUUGGUGGGGUAAAGGCUUACCAAGGCGACGAUCCGUAGCUGGUCUGAGAGGACGACCAGCCACACUGGGACUGAGACACGGCCCAGACUCCUACGGGAGGCAGCAGUGGGGAAUUUUGGACAAUGGGGGCAACCCUGAUCCAGCCAUGCCGCGUGCGGGAAGAAGGCCUUCGGGUUGUAAACCGCUUUUGUUCGGGAAGAAAUCCUCUGGGCUAAUACCCCGGGGGGAUGACGGUACCGGAAGAAUAAGCACCGGCUAACUACGUG